AUGGAGAGUUUCAAAGAUAGAUUAAGCACAUCUACCCCCACAGUUGAAUCUUUUCCUUUGCACACUUUGAUUCAGAGAAGGGGAAAUCUAAGUGAUCUAGAAAGGCCUUUUACUAAAGAAGAAAUAGAUGUUGUGGUAGCUCAAUUGCCUCUAGAUAAAGCCCCUGGUCCAGAUGGUUUUAAUGGGGCCUUCAUCAAGAGCUGUUGGAGUAUAAUUGCUGGAGACAUGUAUAGUCUGAUCAAGGAUUUCUAUAAUGGGAAUGUUAAUCUUUAG
rnacentral:rRNA from 1 species